CCUACGGGAGGCAGCAGUAAGGAAUAUUGCGCAAUGGGCGAAAGCCUGACGCAGCGACGCCGCGUGAGGGACGAAGGCCUUUGGGUUGUAAACCUCUUUCAGCAGGGACGAAGCGAAAGUGACGGUACCUGCAGAAGAAGCACUGGCCAACUACGUGCCAGCAGCCGCGGUAAU
rnacentral:rRNA from 1 species